rnacentral:rRNA from 1 species
GACGAACGCUGGCGGCGUGCUUAACACAUGCAAGUCGAACGGAAAGGCCCUGCUUUUGUGGUGUGCUCGAGUGGCGAACGGGUGAGUAACACGUGAGUAACCUGCCCUUGACUUUGGGAUAACUUCAGGAAACUGGGGCUAAUACCGGAUAGGAGCUCCUGCUGCAUGGUGGGGGUUGGAUCGUUUCGGCGGUUGGGGAUGGACUCGCGGCUUACCAGCUUGUUGGUGGGGUAGUGGCUUACCCAGGCUGUGACGGGUAGCCGGCCUGAGAGGGUGAACGGCGACAUGGCGACUGAGGGACGGCCCAGACGCCUACGGGAGGCAGUAGUGGGGAAUAUUGCACAAUGGGCGGAAGCCUGAGGCAGCAGCGCCGCGUGCGGGAUGACGGCCUUCUGGUUGUAAACCGCUUUCGCCUGUGACGAAGCGUUAGUGACGGUAAUGGGUAAAGAAGCACCGGCUAACUACGUG